rnacentral:rRNA from 1 species
UGCGUAGGUGGCGGUGUAAGUUUGAUGUGAAAUCUCCGGGCUUAACCCGGAAACGGCAUUGAAUACUACAUGGCUUGAGGUUUGGAGGGGGGACUGGAAUUCUCGGUGUAGCAGUGAAAUGCGUAGAUAUCGAGAGGAACACCAGUGGCGAAGGCGAGUCCCUGGACAACACCUGACACUGAGGCACGAAAGCCGGGGGAGCAAACA